CAGUUCCUGGUGCAGACAGAUUGGCUGAUGUUGAUUGUUGACAGCUUCUCCAGCUUGCUAAUUACAACUGUAAAAUAUUCAGGUGAAUGACAGUAACUUGAAAUGUUAAUUCUGCUUUUUUUUUUUUUAAUUUUUUUUUAUUAUUUUGCAGCUGCAACUGUUAGUUGGCUAUUGCUGUAAUUGAUGGACACUGGCAGUUGCUCAGACAGAUGGAAAUUAAUACUCGUGUUACUGUUAGAACUCGCUUUCACAGUCACGUUUUUAUUAGCCUCCCACACUGAAUUAAUGUGUGCACGAUGGUGCGUGUAGAAUCACAGAGUCAUUAAGGUUGGAAAAGACCACUAAGAUCAUCAAGUCCAGACAUCAAGAAGGAGCAGCACAGAUCCUACCUGCAGACCAGCCAAGUGCUUGCUUUGUAUUGGUGGGCCAUGGUAGAAAGAAGUGAGGCUGUAUCAAAUGCGAGGCAUCAACCUGCUCUUCAGGUAAGAAGGCUUGCUCACUGUAAGACUCUGAAAACUGUCAUCUGGAUGGGAGUUUGCAGCUGCAGAUCCUGCCAGGGCUUAGAAGAGAGAAAUGCUUGCAUUCAAGUGGAAUGGAACCAUCCAUCCAGUAGAGAGCUGAUGCCUUAUUUGCUAGCAUAAUAAAUGCAAGAACAGGCCUUGCACUUUUCUUGAACUGGGAAAAAGGUUGGAUGUUCUUUAGAAUUCCCACAAUAAUGUGAGAGUCUUUUAAAACGUACAUCAGAGUUGAUGGAAACUUGUAGCUUAACUUCACCAGAAAUGCAGCUAUUAUCUUACCUGUUGAGUUUUAGUCACGUGAGUUGAAAGCAACUACUAUGAUGGUUGAAAGGAAAAUGCCGAGGCAGUGUAAGUGAUUAAUAAUGUGAAUCAUAGAACCAUAGAACUAUUUGAGUUGGAGAGGACUUUUAAACGUCAUCUAGUCCAACUCCCCUGCAAUGAACAUGGACAUUUAGAUCAGAGUGCUGAGAGCCUGGUCCAGCCCAACCUCAAAUCUGAAGGUAGCACUGAAGUGAAGUUUUCGUAAAUCGUGGCAAUAUAGGUACCGGAAACUAUUUGAGACAUGACUUGUUUGACUUGAAAGCAGGCUUUCUCUUUGAGACUGUGGGACAAGGAAGCUGGAUCAGGAAAAAUAUUGGUUUUCCUCAAUAAGAAUUUGCUUCAGCUUCCCAGGGUUUGGUCGCUGAGGAAGUGACCACACAGGACUUUGCAUCUUGGAAAGAGCUAAAGCAAGUUAGUGUACGCAAAGAGCUCCUCUGAGGCAGAGCUGCUAACAGUGUUGGCUAAACAAGUCAAAGUGUUCAAUACUUUCUGAGUAGCAAAGUCAGUUCUUGAAUUCUGCUUUGUUUUAAGUUUCCAGAACAUUGUACUUCAAGUUGAUGAGGAAAGCCCUUAUUUCCUUCGUGUUCAGAGAUUGUGACCAAGUAGAAAUCUCUUCUCAGGAGGUGUUUGUGAGCCGUGUGUAGAGGUAGGCUGACAAAAUGGAUAGCAGCUCAGCCUUAGGUGUGAAUGCAUCUUCUGGCUGUUUUGUUGCUUCUGUGGAGGAAGGCCAUGCACACAAGGUCCUCUCUCCCAUUCUGUCCUACACCUAAGCCUCUUGCUAACAACUCACCAGGUGUGACUGAGUGGCGGUUCUGACCUCAGAGCUGCAGUGUCAGCAGUUGCUAAGGAUCUCUCCACUAGCCUGCUCAGCAAAGCUUUGCUGUCAAUAUAGUUUUGCUCUUGCAUGCAGUGCAGGAGAUGUUCAUGUGCUAAAGGUAGGAUUGUGUUGCCCACUGCUAUGCCAAUUACUGGAUAUUAAUGGCAGGAUAGCAUGCAUAUGCCUAAACUGGGAAGCAGAAGGUUAAUAGACGAACAGCACCAGAAGAUCCCAUUUAUCAGUUUCUAUUUAUCUCUCCUUGGGAGGUGGCAGGUUUACAGUAAAUACCUUCUGUCCUCCUAAUUUCCUAAUGAUGGGGAUAAUGAUGGAGAAUGGUGAAGUCAUUAACUGGGACAGCCUCUGUGCAUCACUCUGUCAACCACAUCUCUCCAAGACCUGCAAUGAAAAGUGAUGGGCCCCAGCUGUUCACCAGAUUCUCCUCCCCUCCCCCUCUCCCCAUUCCCAACCCCAGUUGCAGGCGUAGCAGUUGGAAAAGGAAAAAAAUAAAAAAAAAAAAAACCACAAACCAAAAGACAAAGGGAUGGUUCCUCUCUUCUGCACUGGAAUGAUCCUGCUAUAGAGCUCAGUGCAGUGCUGUCCUUGGACAGAGCGGUGUUAUUUCAGUAGGGACCACAGCACUGCAGAACAGUGGUUUUAUUAAAAAGAACAGAAUGCAAAAGCAGGUUGCACUGUUUGGAGUGAGACACUGGUUUCCAUUGUGCUGCCUUCUGCUGAAGGACCUGUUCAAUAUUUGUAAAAAUUCUUAGCACUUUUCUGAGUGAGAAGCAUUUUGCCGGAAUACUGAUGUGUUGCAGUGGCUACAAAAAUGGAUGGGCAAACAGCUCUUAAAGUUAUAGGUAUAUUGGGAAUAGAACUAAAGAGAGAAUAUAGUACCCAGACUUUCUAGAUCACAAGAGUGCAAUAGGAAGUGGUGAAGUUACCAUCCCUGGAGGUGUUAAAGAAACGCAGAGAUGUGGCACUGAGGGACAUGGCCAGUGGGCAUGGUGUUGGAUGGGCUGGGGUUGGACUUGGUGAUCUUAGAGGUCUUUUCCAACCUUUAUGAUUCUGUGUGGCUACAGUCACUUGUUGUGGCCUUGAGUGUCCUAUGACAGAACUCUGCAAGUACUUAACUGCCGUUUCCUCUGCAGAGGCUGAGGAUCCAACCUUCUGCCUGGAAAUCUUUUCUAAAGAGAGGCCUGUCUGCAGUGAGGUUUUCCUAUUGCAUCUGCCAUUUGUCAGGCUCAUAAAAGAACUCUUGAGCUGUGGGAGCUUUGUAUUAGAAGGGUUCAUUAACUUUCAAAUGUUUCAAUUGAGAAAUUUCAGAGCUCUCAGCAAUCGACCAAGGUGGCUGGCUCAGCCAAGAGUGUCCCUUGACAGUCAGGUACAGAUGUGAUUGCUAGUCAGAGAGCUGUAAGAAACAUAAUAGUGUCCCAGAAAGAGUCAUACUUGAGCUGGAGAGGCUUAAACCAAAUAGCACAGAGAGGCCGUAAAUAAUUUUUGUUAUUCUUUAAGGGACAGGAAGACAGAGGAGCCCUUAGCCGGUAGUAUGCCAGGAAUUCAGUCUAUGAGGUUGUAGUGCAGUUGGGUCCCAUUCUGGUGUGACUUAUCAUGUUCAUAAGCUGCCCUAGAAAACAUGACAGGGGAAAUGAAAACAUGGUUGUAGUGAGAGAAGGGACUCCACUGGCUAAUCCUAAGCAGAUGACAAACUGUUCCUAAGUGCCUGGUGCCAGCAAAGGUUGAGAUGGUACAGACAGGCUUUUUGUCUGAGUUAGGUCUCUGUUCCAGUGGUAUCUGAGCAGAGGUAUAGACUGAAAAUGAAGGGCAGUGAAACAGUUCUUUUGUCUGGGAGAUGUGAUAUUAUCCAGUUAAUGCAUUAGAAAAUGUCUGAGUAAACUUCACCUAAAUAUUUUUUUCUGUUUUAUCUUCACGUGCUAGAUGCUACUCUAGGUAAUUUUCAUACAAAUGAGAUGAAGCUUCGGAUUUCAGUCCUGCCGUGUUACCUUGGUUCCCAUAAGAUCUCCUGAAGCCCUUAGCUGAAAAUGCAGUUGUUAAUGCCUUAGCUUCAUGUGGUCUGACUGUUCAGUGUCCAGCAAUGUAAGUGCAGCAGUCCUGGGCAAGGUUCAGCAGCAUCAGCUGUUUCUGUGGCCAGCCUCUCAGCUUUGACACCUCAAGCAUGACAUAAAUCAGGCUAAACAGAACAUGCAAUAUUAAACAUCUGUUGACUUCUAAAUAAGGAAAAUCAUAUUAGUCACUCUGUAAGCAAUCUGCAUGAUAAUUUCAGGAAAGCAUGAGGUGACUGCUCUCUCAGAGGAAGAAAUAGCUGAUAGAUCUUUUCUAUAUAUGUGAACUAGCUGUAAGAAAGACUGAAGAUCUGACCAGAAGUCUUCCUUCUGUGAGGUGCCUUUGUUGGAGAAAAAAAAAGACGAGUCAAAUUGUCUGCCACUGUGGAAAUUCAUUUCAGAUGUGUACAGGGCAGUAUCUACAGCACCAAGUCUUGGACAGAAUGGAAUCUGUUGCAGAUAUUGCUUGUCAACUGAAAGGAAUCUCACUGGAGCAUUGUAAUCUCUCCAAAAUAAUUUUUUCAAUUAUGUUUAACAUACAGGAGUAGAUGACUUAAAAAACCAUCCUAGCUGACAGCCCAAAGGCAACCAAAUGUUACAGUCAAGUCCAUUUUUAAAGGUGCAGAGUGUCCAUAUUAACCCUUCAUCUAUAGAUGGUUGAAAGAAAACAAAAUACACAAAUCGUGCACCUUUUAGAGAUCUCAGCACUUAAACCUGGAGAUGUGGCUGCAGUGUAGAAACGAAGAAACAUGCAGUGUCAAGAUGAGGAAAAUAAAGGUUUGGACCAAGUUUAUGUAGAGACACAAUCAUUCAAAUGUGUGUCCAAGUUCAGUUCUAACAGCAUUUUUACCUUCCAGAACAACACUGAUGCUUUAGCAGCAGCCUCUUGACAAUCCACUUCUGUCAACUGAAGAACAGCGUUUGGAGUAGGAUGACUACAGAUGCUUUACCUCAGAAAAGCACUUUUGUGAUUUCUUCUAAUGCAAAAAUACCAGCUUGCCUGCUGAUCUUGGAAAACUCACAGUAUGAGCUCUUCUCCCACUGCCCUUUAUACUAGCUCCAAAAUAUCCUUAACAUUAGUUAUAUGGUAAUGUGGUAAUGAUUUCAGCAUUCACCAAGCAUUUUGUUUGGUCUUUCUACAAUCACAGUGAUAUUUUCAUUACUCUCAGUUUAUCCUUUCUCUUUUUUUCCUUGCUCCCACUUGCACUGGAAACCUAUGUGGUUCUAUCCUGUUAACAUUUUCUUCCCCUUCCCCUUUCCCUUUUCCUUUCUUUUUCUCAGAUAAACCACUUUGAAGCCAUGAGUUGUGGCCACAGCCCUCCGUAGACUCUACAUAGAGUUUUCCAGGGGUCAAGUGCUGUAAAAAGUCAUCAACACCAUGAUGCAGAGUUAUGACUGCCUAUUCGGGGUUUCCUCUUAUUCCCAUAAUGGAACGCAUCUCCACAUAUUCAAUCAGCCACGGUUAUUCUGCCUGGCUACACAGACUGAAGCUAAGAUGCACACUGAACAUUUCUGUCACUUUUGCUGUUCUGGCCACUAUGCUUAUUCAAAGAGCUGGAAGGAAAACUCUCAUUAGAGAAAAAUUCAUUUAGCCUUAUGAAAGCCUGCACUGGGCUAAUAGAAGCUUUAGAAAGCUCUCCCUUCUGGUUAGGAUUGUCCUGAUCAAGGCCUGAGGCAGAAUGAAGAGACAGCUUCAUUGUCUGAGUAAACAUUAGGGCUAUAGAUGAACAGGAUUUUGUUCAUAAGGCUAUUGCUCAGAAACUGGAGAAUAAGCCAGUGAGCUGCUGGUAGCAUAGACUGCAGCCCAAGAGAUUGUUGCAAACUUCAAGGUGAAAAUAAGAAUCUGUUUGUGGUUACUGCUCAAGCAAAGGAGACAUCCUCAUGUUGAGGAUCCAGGUGAUGGUAGGUUUCUAUUACAUAGGCUAGGAAAAAAAAAACAAUGCAAAAUGUAAGAUAAGCUAACUUUGGUGGUGGUGGUGGUGGCUGUGUGUAGAUAGGGGUGAGUUGUGCAUGCUUCUGGGCAGCGUAAGUGUGUAAAGGAGAUGAACUGAGGGCACUGUGUGCAUUUGGGUAGUUCCAGUGCAUGUUGCUAUGCUGGGCUGAAAGAGUAUGGCAGUAGACAUCUACUGGGAGUUGAAAAGCAUCAUUCAUGGUGCACAGAUGCUGAGGGUUGCUGCAAGUGGAGUGGUGUCCAAAAGUGGGAGCAGCAUCUUUGUGGUCAUGUGUCAGGAUCCUUCUUUUCCUGGACGGAAGAAUGCCAGCUGUAAAGCACCUAGAACUUAAGAAGUUUCCAGGAGAAAGGAUGCAAUGAAUGUAGACCUCUAGGUGAGUAAAGUGAAAAUGGAAUCCAGGUCCAAACUGAGAUGGAGUGAAUGAAACACGGAGAAUCACUGAAAUGUACUUCAAAUUCCUUCCAAAUUACCCUGUAGCACUUCUGGUUGACAAGGCUUUGUCAGGCCUGUCUCGGUAGGUCUGUCCCGUCAGGAAUCAGGGCAGAGAUGAAGGGACAGAUGGAGGAAAGGAGACAGAGUAUAUGAUCUUGCUCAAGGGACACGUUAAAUUUAAGUUGGUUUUUUUUUUUUUUUUUUUUUUUUUUUUUUUUUUUUUGUUAAUAGCUUCACAGUGUAGUAGUGUCUGACCUUGCACAAAGGAUUUUUAAGUACCUUCCCAUUCUCCCUUUGCUUUGCUUUCUGCUUUUUAUCUUCUUAGAGUAAUAAAGAUGCUCAAGUCCAGAGAGCUCCUAUAGGAAUUGAAUGCUUAAACACACAGCCUUGCUCUGGAAGGGGAGAUGGAGGAAGGAGUGUGAAUAGGAAGGGAGAGGAGAUCUGUCAAAAACAGUUUUAGGACUGAUCAAAGCAGGAAGGAAGGAGAGGAUAGUCUCCUCCUGAAUAUGAUCAUGUCAUUUCAGAAGACUCUUUUCUGCAACGGAGCUAUGCAUCAGUGCUGGGAGUAGUGUACAUUAAGAAUUAGCAUUUGCUUGGAGCUUCUAAUGUGCUGCAGAAAAUAGAAUUGAUCUCCACUCCAGCUACAAGCCUAAGAAGAACUAAGAUACCCUCUGGUUAGGAGAGGGUGCUUACCCUGCUUGGUAGCACAAGGCUGAGAGCAGGAAUAACACUGAAGCUCAGGUGGCUGAGUGUAUGCUUUGUAUGCAGCUACAAAUGCAGAAGUAAAAGGAAUAGCUCACUUCUGUUUAUUGUGUUGCUUCUGCUUUGGCUUACAUUUGUGUCUACUACCAGUGGUAGUUCAGUGUUCUCUGGGAGCACACAAUGGUGGGAAUGAUGCAGAACAAAUGAUUGCCUUACUAAAAUUUUGUCAUAAUCUUUACUUGCUGUGAUGGAUCUCAUCACUGCCUAAAAAUUGGGGCUUUUCUGCCAUAUAUCUAUUUCAGUUCUUUUUAUAUAUCAAAAGGACAGAUGUUUUGAUGGCAGAGGGUCCUUAUACAAGCUGUCUGUAUUGAUAUAUACAGAUGACUUUGUACUGGAGAAGGAAGGUGUGACUGAGCAGUGAGCAGCAGCCACUGAGAUCUUCUGGGAGCACAUCUCAAGUUUGUGCACAGGCCUGACUGAGUGAGUGAUGGCUUGUCAGACACCGGGGGAGUUUGGACAAGUGCCUAGAAUGGAAAUCCAUUGGGAGUUGUUAAACUUAGAAAAGCCUUCUUGAGCUCACAAAAUCUGAAGGCUGCAAAUCGUUAGGGGCUGGAGACUUGACUGUGUGUCCCUGUGUGCCUGCUGUAUUGUCCCCUUCCCAAGGUGUCACAGUGUGCUGGAUUAGGUGGCUCCUUGGUGUGAGCUGCCAUGGUUAUUAGAAAACAGCCACUGCAGAACUAAUGCAUGUCCAAGAUAGCUCUGAGUUCUUACAUCAAUAUGGUUGCGUCUACUUACUGAUUUACUCUUUUCUGAAAGCUCUGGCUUGUUGGAGUUGUAGACAAUGGGGCAGGUGAGUUAAUUCCCCUGAAGCUAAGCUUCCUUGACCAGGGGCAGUGAUAAAUUUGGGUAACCUCUGCCAGACAGAGUGGAAAAUCUUGUGCUAGUGGAUGACUCCUUGAGUAUGCGGAAGUUUGUUAAGAUAUCAGAGGUAAAGAUGAACGUAAAGUGUCAUGUUCCCAUUACCUAAAUGACUCGGGUAGACAAUUCUUGAACUUACUGAAGAGAUUCUCGUACCUGCUGAAGAGACAUUUGUGACAUUUGUGCAUAAGCUACCACAAUUUAUGUACAAUCUUGAAUCAAAGUAAGCUUGAAUUAACAGACACAAGUAUACCCUCAAAAACAUACAGCAUGAGCAUGCUGUUGUGCCCUAGUAAAGCAUUCCAAUGGCAACAGCAGGGGCAGCAAGGAAAAAUUCUGGAGGCUUUGAUUCACAUACUGCAUCUACUGGAAGACUGCUUCUGAAGUGGUGGAAUCCGAGCGCACAGUUGGUAACAGCCCAUGGCUUUAUGGCACUAGCUGCAAAGUGCUAAGAUCAGGAUGAUAGGUGGCAAAAGGAUUUUCUUGUGUCCAGCAGAAAAGGUAGAUUUGAGUCACAGUCAAGAGUCAAGGAGCCACGUUCUUUCUUUUUGCUACAGUGGCCUUUGCUGUACAGCCUUUGUGAAACAGCGUCCCCCGCCCCCCUGGUGCUGUCAAAGCAGUAACAUAGCAUUGAGGUGAUUUUGUAUCUCGCAGCCAAAAGAAAGGAAAAUAGUAUCUUAAGUGACAGGCUCUAAAUACAGUGAAAAGAAAACAUUGAUCAUGCGUGUGCGGUCAUAUUUUUUGUCAUCUCCUUAGACUGCGAAAAGGCGGUCACAGUAAAGCUUACUUAAAAUACGUUCACUCUUUUCCCGUUGACAUUAGGGUUUUGUUUUUUUUUUUUCAGCCAAAGAUCUCUAAGCUGCAAAGAUACACAGGGCUUGACAUUAGUAGGAGCCAUUGGAUAAUGCCA
rnacentral:lncRNA from 1 species